rnacentral:tRNA from 1 species
GGGUAUAUAGCUCAGUGUUGAGCACAUGCCUAGCAUACAUGAGGUCCUGGGUUCAAUCCCCACUACCUCCU